UAAAUUCUAAAGAAUUUAUCCACAACAUUGCAUACUCAGGUUAACUACCUUACAUAGCCGGUCUGUCCCUUAAAAACCAAUGGAAAUCAAAACCGCUUGAGAUUCAAUGAAACCAUGGGUUUAUCUUGGAAUCCCAAGGGGGUUAAAAAUUUCAUCAAUUGUAAUUUUCUGAGAGUAAAUGAUAUUCAUUUGUAAAGGUACCUGCAUGAAUAAGUUUUUAGAUUAGUAGAAAGUUGCAAAAAAACAUAAUGAUAAGUAUAAUCAUCAUUACUUAACAUUAGCCGAUAAAUAAAACAAAACAUUUUCAAAGAAUAAAAAACAUGAGUAAAACAAAGUGUAAAUUGAUUUGCAAUAUAUCAAAAUGUUAUUGUUUUGUGAAAUUCAAUCCGAGAUGCACCCUUUUCCGAAUUGCGACCUAUAAUCAAAUGGUGACAUUAAAACGGAAGUAAUUUAGUUUUAUAUAUCUUCUGUAUUUUAUUACUUAUUUGGGAUAACAGGAUUCAAGCUUGUUUGUAAGCAAAAACGCAUUAGAAUGUCGUCGUCUAAUGGCCUAGUCCGUUCACAAAAAGUAAUCAAAAUAGCUUGAUUCUUUUAAAAAUCUUAAUAAUCUCCCCAAAAAAAAAUUUUUUUUGUUGAAAAAAGCAUAAUGAUGAUUAACCAUGAAUAACCCUUAACCAAAGAACAAAUAGUAUGAAUAUUUGCAAAAAUAUAAAACAAUAUUAGAAAAACCCUGAAACGAAACCAAAAUCGAUCAUGCCAAUUUAAAAUAAUACGCCAUAACUUAAGUACUUGGUCAUUUAUAACAUUAGACUAUGAGACUAUGCCAAUCUAUAUUCUAUUAUAUUCUAUAUUAUAAAAAUCUAUAAAUUCGGUCAAUAAAAUUUAUACUUUUUAGAGACUGCAUUGGUUCAAGAAAUCAAGACAGUAUUAUUUCUGUUCUAUCGUCUCUGAACUUCUGAAGUCUCAUUACAUUAUUUUAGAUGUUUAUAAAUGUAUUUGCAUUCCAGUAACAUUUUACUUACUUCUUUCUUGUUAUAUGUCGUAUUAUAUUAGAUUAGAAAGAGGCUGAAUAGUAAGUAAAAGUAUUUAUAAAAUUUAAUUUUUCAUGUCAAAAAAUGCACCAAAUUUUCUAAUGUACAAAUCCACCAUUUACCUAAGUAUUUAUAUUCACGUGUUUGCAGUUCAGCUAAGGGUGGGAUUUAUAUGUCUAUUCUCAAUGUAUGUUAAUGUUGCAAUAUAUCUUGAUGUCUUUAUGUUAAUAAUAAAUGUUAAAUUGUA